GCAAGUCGAACGAUCCUUAGGGAUAGUGGCAGACGGGUGAGUAACGCGUGGGAACCUUCCCUAUGGUACGGAAUAGCUCCGGGAAACUGGAAUUAAUACCGUAUAAGCCCUUCGGGGGAAUGAUUUAUCGCCAUAGGAUGGGCCCGCGUCGGAUUAGUUAGUUGGUGAGGUAAUGGCUCACCAAGACUCCGAUCCGUAGCUGGUCUGAGAGGAUGAUC
rnacentral:rRNA from 1 species